rnacentral:lncRNA from 1 species
GGGCACCUGCCUUCCUUCUACAUCCUAGAUGAACUGGUCUGAACACAUUCUUCUGUGAAGUUUAUAAUUGACAUGUGUGGACACUAAGCUCAUAAAGAAUCAGGGCUAAGACUAUGAUGGGUCAUAUGCAAGCUGAUGCUGAGGAAGCCCACCAUAAGAACGGAGAAUGGAGCAUUCUGCAGAGAGCAGAGCAGCUGUGGAUCCAGGAGACCAGCAGACCCAGGAGAUUUCCAGAAGCAUAAGAGUAACUAAUUAUCCACCCUUUUCCAUGGUUUACAAUAAUUCCAGAUCUCCUAUUUAAAGGGCAUCCACCCAGCAAGCACUCAAGAAUUACAUAUUAAUGACGGCCAUGCUAGCAGUAAUGUAGAAUGUAAGGUGGACUAAAUUAAACAUUUUUUAAAACCAUCCAUCAUGCAUUGGAUUUUUUUUCCCAUGACAGAAUUUCAGUGGCAAUGAUGAAAUCUCAGGGUUUUCACAGGGGAAAUUUGCCCCUGAUUUUCUCUGCAUCUCCCUUCCUUUUGCACCACAUCUUCUCCCAGGGAUUCCUCCAAUAAGCAUCAAUAUUUGGCCCUAGCGCCCUGAACUUGAGAGUUUAUUAGAGAGAAGACUCCUACUGUUUAGAGAACAGAGAUUUCAAGGAAGGAUUAAGGCUGGCAUCCUGAUAGCAAAGGUGGAGACAAAGGAAAGCAUUCCAGUCUCCAGAAUCUGAAGCUCUGCUCCUGAGUUUAUAAAAUGUGGAUGACGUCUAUGAAACUAAGCUCGGGAAGUAUUUUGUCACAUAUUGUGUUGAAAGCUCAUAGGAAGAGGAAAGUUGGGCAGUUGUCUAAGUAUAGCGGAGGUUUAUGUGAAGGGAAUGUUGAACCAUGAGGCUCACAUAAGGCAACUGUCUUAAGAAUAAAUAAGUAGUAUGCUAUAAAUAGAUUAUCUACCAUGCUAAAUUAAAUAUGUUAUUGGCUUCUCCAAAUAAACAGACCCAUGGAUGUGUAUACGGAGAAAGAGAGAGAGGGACAGAGAGAGAGAGUGUGAGUGGCAAAAUUUCUGAAGAUAGACUUAAGAAUGAAAAAUGAAAUCGGAGCCCAUAAGUUCUGUACCAUUUGAAGCCCACUUAUGUGUUUAGCCUCAUCUAUUAAGUCCUAGGCACUGAGUUUGGAUAGUGGGAAUACAAUGGUGAGCAGAAACUACAUGAAAUUUGACCUCAAGAAGAAGAGCUACACAUGAGUUAAAUAAUUGCAUAAAUAAAAGGUUAAAAUAUUAGUGACUAUGGACGGGGGUCUUGCUAUG